GUUUAAGGAGGGUAUUUGUCGCGCUCUCGUCCGAUCUCGUCCGAUCUCGGAAGCCAACCAGGGUCGGGCCUGGUUAGUACUUGGAUGGGAGACCGCCUGGGAAUACCAGGUGCUGUAAGCU
rnacentral:rRNA from 1 species